rnacentral:rRNA from 1 species
UACGUAGGGGGCAAGCGUUGUCCGGAUUUAUUGGGCGUAAAGAGCGUGUAGGCGGCUGGGUAGGUCCGUUGUGAAAACUCAAGGCUCAACCUCGAGACGCCGAUGGAAACCCUCCAGCUAGAGUCCGGAAGAGGAGAGUGGAAUUCCUGGUGUAGCGGUGAAAUGCGCAGAUAUCAGGAGGAACACCGAUGGCGAAGGCAGGUCUCUGGGCAUUAACUGACGCUGAGGAGCGAAAGCAUGGGGAGCGAACAGG